GAUGAAGAACGCAGCGAAAUGCGAUAAGUAAUGUGAAUUGCAGAAUUCAGUGAAUCAUCGAAUCUUUGAACGCACAUUGCGCCCGCCAGUAUUCUGGCGGGCAUGCCUGUUCGAGCGUCAUUUCAACCAUCAAGCCCCCGGCUUGUGUUGGGGACCUGCGGCUGCCGCAGGCCCUGAAAUGCAGUGGCGGGCUCGCUGUCACUCCGAGCGUAGUAAUACAUCUCGCUCAGGGCGUGCUGCGGGUUCCGGCCGUUAAAAAGCCUUAUUUACCCAAGGUUGACCUCGGAUCAGGUAGGAAGACCCGCUGAACUUAAGCAUAUCAAUAAGCGGAGGA
rnacentral:misc_RNA from 1 species